CUUUCUGUGGCAUUGGAGGUGGGAGUCUAGCUUGGAUUAUCAAGGGCCUUUAGGAAUCUGUGUCAGAAACAGCACAAUUAGGGUCCCACAGGGGUACCAAAUUGGGGAUAUUUUUGAGGCCUGGGUUUUUUGAGGGUAUCAGAAGACUGCAUGUCAAGGAUCAUCAGACCGGGUGGCUGGCUCUGCAGUACUUGAGGCUGAG
rnacentral:lncRNA from 1 species